AUUAUAUAUUAAUAAUAUAAAAAAAUGUAAAAUGAAAAAAAAAAAAUAUAAUAAUUUUUAUUUAUAACUUUUUUUUUCCUUUCAACCAAACAACCAUCGUGGAAAACUACUUUUCUUUUUCUACAAACCAAACAUAAACGACGUAAAACAUUUUUUCCACCGAAAUUUUUUUUCCACAGUUUUAUGUGGAACCAAACACACCCUAAUAUAUUUUAAAUAUAUAUGGCUAAAACUUCCUACAUACACAUGUCAUGCGUUGAUAAUUCCCACGGAUAAAUCUUACAUGUUGACUGAACCGCAAACAUGUUGGAUGCAAAAACAAAGAGAAAACUACAUCAAUUGAGAAAAAGAAAAACACUGCUUCAAACCGCCCAAAAAUAACACCUCAACACAGCCUAGAUGGUGUAGAUGUUAGCUCUUUUUGGUUGAUGUGCCAGCCUAGCCCAGCCCAGCCCA
rnacentral:lncRNA from 1 species